rnacentral:rRNA from 1 species
AUAUCAAUAAGCGGAGGAAAAGAAACCAACAGGGAUUCCCCUAGUAACGGCGAGUGAAGCGGGAACAGCUCAAAUUUGAAAGCUGGCCUUCUGGUCCGCAUUGUAAUUUGUAGAGGAUGCUUUUGGCGCGGUGCCUUCUGAGUUCCUUGGAACAGGACGCCUUAGAGGGUGAGAGCCCCGUACAGUUGGACACCUAGCCUUUGUAAAGCUCCUUCGACGAGUCGAGUAGUUUGGGAAUGCUGCUCUAAAUGGGAGGUAAAUUUCUUCUAAAGCUAAAUACCGGCCAGAGACCGAUAGCGCACAAGUAGAGUGAUCGAAAGAUGAAAAGCACUUUGAAAAGAGGGUUAAAUAGCACGUGAAAUUGUUGAAAGGGAAGCGCUUAUGACCAGACUUUUUCCUGGCGGAUCAUCCGGCGUUCUCGCCGGUGCACUUCGCCAGGUUUAGGCCAACAUCGAUUUCCGCCGGGGGAUAAAGGCUUCGGGAAUGUGACUCCCUCCGGGGAGUGUUAUAGCCCGUUGCGCAAUACCCUGGUGGGGAUCGAGGUUCGCGCUUCGGCAAGGAUGUUGGCAUAAUGGUCAUCAGUGACCCGUCUUGAAACACGGACCAAGGAGUCGAACAUUUGUGCGAGUGUUUGGGUGUCAAACCCUCACGCGUAAUGAAAGUGAACGGAGGUGAGAGCCUUAGGGUGCAUCAUCGACCGAUCCUGAUGUCUUCGGAUGGAUUUGAGUAAGAGCAUAAAUGUUCGGACCCGAAAGAUGGUGAACUAUGCGUGGAUAGGGUGAAGCCAGAGGAAACUCUGGUGGAGGCUCGCAGCGGUUCUGACGUGCAAAUCGAUCGUCAAAUCUGCGCAUGGGGGCGAAAGACUAA